rnacentral:tRNA from 1 species
GGUGGAUGUAGCCAAGUGGACCAAGGCAGU